rnacentral:rRNA from 1 species
UACGGAGGGUGCGAGCGUUAUCCGGAAUUAUUGGGCGUAAAGAGCUCGUAGGCGGUUUGUCGCGUCUGCCGUGAAAGUCCGGGGCUCAACUCCGGAUCUGCGGUGGGUACGGGCAGACUAGAGUGAUGUAGGGGAGACUGGAAUUCCUGGUGUAGCGGUGAAAUGCGCAGAUAUCAGGAGGAACACCGAUGGCGAAGGCAGGUCUCUGGGCAUUAACUGACGCUGAGGAGCGAAAGCAUGGGGGAGCGAACAGG